GACGAACGCUGGCGGCGUGCUUAACACAUGCAAGUCGAACGGAAAGGCCCUGCUUUUGUGGGGUGCUCGAGUGGCGAACGGGUGAGUAACACGUGAGUAACCUGCCCUUGACUUUGGGAUAACUUCAGGAAACUGGGGCUAAUACCGGAUAGGAGCUCCUGCUGCAUGGUGGGGGUUGGAAAGUUUCGGCGGUUGGGGAUGGACUCGCGGCUUAUCAGCUUGUUGGUGGGGUAGUGGCUUACCAAGGCUUUGACGGGUAGCCGGCCUGGGAGGGUGACCGGCCACCUUGGGACUGAGAUACGGCCCAGACUCCUACGGGAGGCAGCAGUGGGGAAUAUUGCCCAAUGGGCGGAAGCCUGAUGCAGCAACGCCGCGUGCGGGAUGACGGCCUUCGGGUUGUAAACCGCUUUCGCCUGUGACGAAGCGUGAGUGACGGUAAUGGGUAAAGAAGCACCGGCUAACUACGUG
rnacentral:rRNA from 1 species